UUAACGCAAAUUUGUAUGCUGUUGGAACAUUUGCCUACGUUUGCCGCUAGGGGCGCUUUUUCAACUGCAUAAAAAUUUACCUUA
rnacentral:pre_miRNA from 1 species